GCUCCGACUGGGUCCAGCCCGGGGGGCGGGGGCUGCGGCCACUGAGGAUGGGGAAAUCCAACAGCAAGUUGAAGCCCGAAGUUGUGGAGGAGCUGACCAGGAAGACCUACUUUACUGAGAAGGAGGUCCAGCAGUGGUACAAAGACUUCAUCAAGGAUUGCCCCAGUGGACAGCUUGAUGCAGCAGGCUUCCAGAAGAUCUACAAGCAAUUCUUCCCGUUUGGAGACCCCACCAAGUUUGCCACGUUUGUUUUUAACGUCUUUGAUGAAAACAAGGAUGGGCGGAUCGAGUUCUCCGAGUUCAUCUAGGUGCUGUCGGUGACCUCGAGGGGGACUCUGGAUGAGAAGCUGCGGUGGGCCUUCAAACUACUUGGACAACGACGGCUACAUCACCAGGAAUGAGAUGCUGGACAUUGUGGACGCCAUUUACCAGAUGGUGGGGAACACUGUGGAGCUCCCAGAGGAGGAGAACACUCCAGAAAAGAGAGUGGACCGGAUCUUUGCCAUGAUGGACAAGAAUGCCGACGGGAAGCUGACCCUGCAGGAGUUGCAGGAAGGGUCCAAGGGGGACCUGUCCAUCGUGCAGGCGCUGUCCCUCUACGAUGGGCUGGUAUAGUCCCGGGCCAAGCCGGAGCGGGAUGCCUGGGAACCACUCACCUCCUCCUGUGCCAUGAGGCCGCCUCAGCCAUGACACCACCCCCGUGUGCCCACCCAGCCUUCUUCCGCAUUCACACAGCCGGCUGCCCUUGACCCGGGAGGCACCGGCUCUCCUCUCCCCUGCCCCGCACCCACCCGCUGCCUGAAGCCACCGGCUCCAAUUGCCAGCAACCUCUGCUUGUCCAGAAAACGGCAACGCGAAAUGGAAAAGGCUACAGCCCUCUGCAAAACCAAGGACUCGGCUGCCUCACCGGCUGCGUCUUCGUUCCUCCCGCUCUCUUGCGCGUGUGCUUUUGUUUUUUAUUUCAAACAGACGUUUUAAAAGG